CCCCUUCAAUGCACACCCGCGAUCCCCUAUAUUGAGGGGGUCGGCUUGCCGACUAUGGCGAUAAACGCGCUCGUAAUAACCGGACCGGACCCGGGGGCAGUACCCGGCGGCUCCACCAUAACUGUUCUGCGUUGGCGGACAUGCUUGGGGCCGAAACAGGAUCGACGGACGGGUAAAGGGGAUGGCUUUCGCCGGGGUGAGGCCCCUUACAGGCUCAUUUUCAGAGUUGCCAACGACAACUUUGCUGAAGAGGUCGCUCUCGCUGCGUAGUCAGCGCGGGUAAUCUCGCACUAAACUCCUAUUCCCUUUAGCCGGAAUAGGCGGGGCCCGGAGGCGCCUGGCAACAGAAGCCUCCACU
rnacentral:tmRNA from 14 species